AUGGACGUGGACGCGCGGAUGGCCACGGAGUCGGACUCCGACUCGGACGCCGCCGCGGCGGCGCAGGCCGGCGGCACCGUGAGCGUCCCCGUUAGCGGGACCGAGACCCCCUCCGUGUCGCCGCCGCCAGAGGCUGCCACGGGGGCGGCAGCUCCUCCGGCGGCGGUGGCCGGGCCGAGGCCGGCCCCCGGGUACACGGUGGUGGACGCGUUGAUGGACAAGAAGGAGGACGGGCCGGGGUGCCGCUGCGGGCACACGCUCACGGCCGUGCCUGCCGUCGGGGAGGAGGGCUCGCCGGGCUACAUAGGCCAGCGGCUGAUCCUCUUCGGCGGCGCCACCGCGCUCGAGGGCAACAACGCAACUCCACCCUCGUCGGCUGGGAGCGCCGGGAUCCGUCUUGCUGGUGCCACCGCAGAUGUUCACUGUUACGAUGUGCUAUCAAAUAAAUGGACCAGGCUUACUCCACUUGGUGAACCUCCUUCACCAAGAGCUGCACAUGUAGCAACUGCUGUUGGAACCAUGGUGGUCAUUCAGGGUGGUAUAGGCCCUGCUGGUUUAUCUGCAGAGGACCUUCAUGUUUUGGAUCUUACACAACAACGUCCGCGAUGGCACAGAGUCGUGGUUCAAGGGCCUGGUCCUGGUCCACGAUACGGACAUGUCAUGGCCUUGGUUGGGCAACGAUUCUUGUUGACCAUUGGCGGAAAUGAUGGAAAGCGUCCCCUGGCAGACGUUUGGGCCCUUGAUACUGCAGCAAAGCCAUAUGAAUGGAGGAAACUUGAACCAGAAGGCGAAGGACCGCCUCCAUGCAUGUAUGCAACUGCAAGUGCCCGCUCUGAUGGUCUUCUUUUGCUCUGUGGUGGGAGGGACACUAAUAGUGUGCCUCUGUCAAGUGCGUACGGUCUUGCAAAGCAUAGGGAUGGGCGUUGGGAGUGGGCAAUUGCCCCUGGUGUCUCUCCAUCACCCAGAUAUCAACAUGCAGCUGUUUUUGUCAAUGCACGACUUCAUGUCUCAGGAGGGGCUCUUGGAGGCGGUCGCAUGGUGGAAGACUCCUCUAGUGUGGCAGUGUUGGACACUGCUGCUGGAGUUUGGUGUGACACAAAAUCAGUAGUUACAACUCCAAGGACAGGAAGAUAUAGUGCAGAUGCAGCGGGUGGUGAGGCUUCUGGAGAGCUUACACGAAGGUGCAGGCAUGCAGCUGCUGCGGUUGGUGAUAUGAUAUUCAUUUAUGGAGGUUUACGGGGAGGUGUGUUGUUAGACGACCUUCUUGCUGCAGAAGAUCUUGCUGCUGCUGAAACAACAAGUGCAGCUAACCAUGCAGCUGCAGCUGCCACUAAUAUGCAAGCUGGAGGAACACCUGGCAGAUUUGCUUACAAUGAUGAACAAACAGGGCAAACGACUACAGAAACAACUGCUGAUGGAGCUGUGGUUCUUGGAACCCCAGUUGCACCUCCUGUUAAUGGGGAUGUGUAUACUGAUAUCAGCCCUGAGAAUGCGGUGAUCCAGGGACAGAGGAGAUCAAGCAAAGGUGUUGAUUAUUUGGUUGAAGCAUCUGCUGCAGAGGCUGAGGCAAUCAGUGCUACUUUGGCUGCUGUAAAGGCCAGGCAAGUUAAUGGUGAGAUGGAGCAUUCACCUGACUCUCCAGACACCACACAAAGCGGGAAGCUAAAUUCAAGCCUUAUCAAACCAGAUGUUGCUCUUGCAAACAAUUCAACACCGCCUCCUGGGGUUCGGUUACACCAUAGAGCGGUUGUGGUAGCAGCAGAAACAGGAGGUGCCUUAGGUGGCAUGGUUAGGCAGCUGUCAAUUGAUCAGUUUGAAAAUGAAGGAAGAAGGGUUAUCUAUGGCACUCCUGAGAAUGCAACUGCAGCUAGAAAAUUACUGGAUCGGCAAAUGUCUAUUAAUAGUGUGCCCAAAAAGGUAAUUGCCUCUCUCUUGAAACCCCGUGGUUGGAAGCCCCCUGUACGAAGGCAAUUCUUCUUGGACUGUAAUGAGAUUGCAGAUCUAUGUGAUAGUGCCGAAAGGAUAUUUUCAAGUGAACCAAGUGUCAUAAAGCUUAAAGCUCCCAUUAAGAUAUUUGGUGAUUUGCAUGGUCAAUUUGGUGACCUAAUGCGCUUAUUCGACGAGUAUGGUGCUCCCUCAACAGCAGGAGAUAUUGCUUACAUUGAUUAUCUCUUCUUGGGAGACUAUGUUGAUCGUGGUCAACAUAGUUUGGAGACUAUUACUCUUCUCCUUGCACUGAAGGUUGAAUAUCCUCAAAAUGUACAUUUGAUUCGAGGGAAUCAUGAGGCAGCAGAUAUCAAUGCGCUGUUUGGGUUCCGGAUAGAGUGCAUAGAGCGAAUGGGUGAGCGGGAUGGAAUCUGGACCUGGCAUCGUGUUAAUAGGUUAUUUAAUUGGCUUCCUUUGGCUGCCCUAAUAGAGAAGAAAAUAAUCUGCAUGCAUGGUGGUAUUGGGCGUUCCAUUAACCACAUAGAGCAAAUUGAAAAUCUUCAAAGACCGAUUACCAUGGAAGCAGGCUCAGUUGUUCUAAUGGAUCUUUUAUGGUCGGAUCCAACUGAGAAUGACAGUGUUGAAGGACUCAGACCAAAUGCUCGGGGCCCAGGUCUUGUCACCUUUGGGCCUGACCGUGUUAUGGAGUUCUGCAACAACAAUGACCUACAAUUAAUUGUGCGAGCACACGAGUGUGUGAUGGAUGGCUUUGAGCGUUUCGCCCAAGGUCACUUGAUCACCCUCUUCUCGGCAACAAACUACUGUGGUACGGCAAACAACGCAGGUGCAAUCUUAGUUCUGGGAAGGGACCUUGUGGUUGUCCCAAAACUCAUUCAUCCUUUGCCACCUGCCAUUACAUCUCCUGAGACAUCCCCGGAGCAUCAUAUUGAGGACACAUGGAUGCAGGAACUAAAUGCCAACAGGCCACCAACUCCGACCAGGGGCCGCCCUCAAGCAGCUAGCAAUGACCGAGCAGGCCCUCUUGCGUGGAUAUAG
rnacentral:rRNA from 1 species